rnacentral:lncRNA from 1 species
UGGCGGGGUAACUUCCAAAUCUGCUGGAGUGGAUAAUGGGCACCCCUGCCGGGCUCAGGUGGAACGCAGCACUGAAACAGGUGCUGCGAGCCAUCUUCCUUCACCACAUCCACCUGUGGAUCAGCUACAUCCACCCCAUACCCUCCUUUAUCCAGAACAUCCUGUGGCCAAGGUCCUGGUCAGCUCUCCACUCUUCCAGGGUGGCAUUAACUGCUGGGGCAGCACACGGCUGCUACAGUGGCAGGCUGGGCACUGCAGUGUGUGUUCCUUUAUGUGUGUGAGCAGGCCCUGCUCUUUGUCUUCUCUGUCCCCAGUUCUCCAGGGAUUUCGCAGGUGCUGCCUGAGCCCUGCCUGUCACACUCUUCCUUCUGGUUCCCAGGUUGCGGGGAGAGUGAGCAGGAGGCACGAGCUGCCAGCCAGGUCAGCAGGC